CUCACCCGUGUCGUGAGAGGUGGGUAAGUCCGCAACGAGCGCCACCCUUGUUCUUAGUGCCAGCAUUUAGUUGGGCACUCUAAGGUGACUGCCGGUGACAAACGGAGGAAGGUGGGGAUGACCUCAAAUCAUCAUGCCCCUUAUGACCUGGGCUACACACGUGCUACAAUGGAUGGUACAAAGGGCUGCAAGACCGCGAGGUCAAGCCAAUCCCAUAAAACCAUUCUCAGUUCGGAUUGUAGGCUGCAACUCGCCUACAUGAAGCUGGAAUCGCUAGUAAUCGCGGAUCAGCAUGCCGCGGUGAAUACGUUCCCGGGCCUUGUACACACCGCCCGUCACACCACGAGAGUUUGUAACACCCGAAGUCGGUGGAGUAACCGUAAGGAGCUA
rnacentral:rRNA from 2 species